rnacentral:rRNA from 1 species
ACGUAGGGAGCAAGCGUUAUCCGGAUUUACUGGGUGUAAAGGGCGCGCAGGCGGGCCGGCAAGUUGGAAGUGAAAUCUAUGGGCUUAACCCAUAAACUGCUUUCAAAACUGCUGGUCUUGAGUGAUGGAGAGGCAGGCGGAAUUCCGUGUGUAGCGGUGAAAUGCGUAGAUAUACGGAGGAACACCAGUGGCGAAGGCGGCCUGCUGGACAUUAACUGACGCUGAGGCGCGAAAGCGUGGGGAGCAAACAG